UUGAUGGAGAGUUUGAUCCUGGCUCAGGACGAACGCUGGCGGCGUGCUUAACACAUGCAAGUCGGACGAUGAUCUGGGGGCUUUCGGGUUUCCUGGU
rnacentral:rRNA from 1 species